GCUCGGCGUGCAACUGAUCGCCCACGCUGGUGCGCUUUCACCUCGGAGAGGCGUAGGGACCCGCGCCCGGCAAGUCCGAGCCUGCGUCAGCCUUCCUGCCAGGUCCUGGGAGGCUUCAGUAAAACAGCCCGGGGCCUGAGCUGAGGACCCAGCCCUGACAGCGCCAAGAAGACCAAAGAAUCUGAUCCCGGGUGCGAGACUCCUCCGGACCGCAUCCUGUUACCAGAGCCCUGUGUCGGGGUGGGCUAACCAGGCACACCUGUGAUCCCAGCACUCCGGAGGCCGAGGCAGGAGGCGGCAAGUGAGAGCCCAGCCUGGCACUGUAGGGACUUCACCAGACCCUGGGUCUAAAGUGAAAAGGGCCGGGGAUGUAGCUCGGUGUGAAGGCCCUGGGUUCAAACCCCAGUGCUGAAAUAAUGGGACGCACGGGCCAGCGCCCAGCCGGCGAGGGUGGCCAGAGGUCUGCACUGGCGGAGCGGCUCCAGGCUGCCUUUAGGAUCCAAAGCGCCGAGACAUACAAGGGAGAGAUCGCGAGCCCCUUCCUCGGGCACCUGGCUUCCUGCACACCGGGGACCCUAAGCCACCCUCUGGGAGUUUGUCGCUCCCUCACCCCUCAGGCCCUCCCAGGCAGGGGACAGGUCACUGCAAUGGCCCAGACGGCCUUGCCCUGGACCCUGUGCUCUGAGAUCUGGCCCCAUGCACCUAGAAGUGCGAGUGACCUCUGCACUUGGUGCUCAGUGUCCCCGGGUACACCUGCUUGGGCUGUGGGUCCCAGGGCUUUGGUCACUCUCCAAAGUCUCCACAGGCCCCCAAGGCCGUGCUCUUGUCCCACCCCUAGCAUCUUCCCAGCGCCCCACGCCUGGCUUAGCCCUUCCUCCCCUCUCCAGGCAGGAGGCCCCCAGCCCACAGCCCACAAAAAUGGGGGACUAAAUGAGGAAGACGGGAGAAAGGAACUUGCUGCAAGUGAUAGCAUGGGUGCACUGAUCUUUACAUCGGCGUGGUCACUGUCCAUGCUGAACUUGAACCCAGCCCUUGUACCUUGUACAAAAAUUGAUUCAGAAUGGACCAUAUAGCUAAAUGUGAAAUAUAAACUUUAAAUCAGCUAGAAGAAAGCAAUGAAAUCCUGGUUAUGUUGGGUUAGGCAAAAAAAAAAAAAAAUCCAAAAAACAGAAAAGCUGAAAAACUUGCCCACUUCACCAAAGAAAAUAUGUCAGAUGCCAAAUGAGUUCAUGAGGAAAUUUUUAACUGCCUAGCUGACAAGGAGCUGCUCCCAACUUAAUAACAAUUUGCUACUUUUCAGGUGAACUUGAGCACUCUGGAGAGUCUUCACUGAUUUAUACCUUUUCCACCCUGAAUUCGUUCAUGUUUGUGUCUCUAGAAUAUUAUGUUUUCUGGGAGAGCGUCUCCUCCCUCUUCUCCCACUCCAUCAGCAGGGAUGCCUGCCACCUGCCUGCUGUGUGAUCUGCCUCCACCCUGGAAUUCUGGAGUUUGAACACAAGAACAUUGUACUGCCUCUGGCCUGAGUUUCUGUGCUGAGGAGUUGCUACCGAGUGAACCCUGCACUUGUCUGCAGAUGCGGUAGCUACCCCCAGGGGGCUUGUGAUCCUUUCACUUCUGAGACAGUGUAACGGAAGUGAGCAGCGGUAAUGCCUGAAAGGCCAUCACCAAGGAGAUCCCACCUCGGGGAGGAGGUGAAGCUUUGCCACGGAGAGAGCAAGGAGAACCUGGCCAGCUCUGCCUUGGGCCUGGGGCAGGGUGUGUGAUGGCGCCAUGAAGAAGGACAGGACCACUGCCCAGUUCUGGCAGUGCAAGGCCCAGGGGCUGUCCCAGCUGGCGGAAGUCACAUCUCCUUGGCAAAUGUGCUUCCCACACCUGAGAGGAAGCCUGUGCCCUUCCAGGACCAGGUCGCAGGGUGGGUGUGUUUAUGAUAUAUUUCAAAAUGGCAGAAAAGAGGAGUAAGACAUCCCCAACACCAUAAAAAUGAUUAAGGUUUGAAGAGAUGGAAACGCUUAGUGCUCUGACCUGGAAAUUACACAUUGUCUAUGUGUGUUUGAUUACCGUACCGCACCACACGAAGAUUUACAAACACAGUGGUACCUCGGUUCACGAGCUCAAUUCUUUCCACGGUUCUGGUUGCAAACUGAGUUGGGCUAGACUGAAUCCAGUUCACUGGUCAGGUUCAGUGUUGGCCUUGUGGGGAAUUUGAUUCAGUUCUUGCCCAGUUUGGUUUGUGACCAGAAUCAGGGAGAGAAUUGGGUUUGUGAACUGAGGUAGCACUGUAUUUAAUAAAAAAAGGGAAAGGUUUCGUAGACCUAAAGGAGGAGAACGAACGUAAGGUCACUGAUUUUUAUUUUGCUGAUUAAUAUCAUUAAGAAUAAAACAAAUGAAAAAUAUCCUUAAGCAAAAAUGAAAAAUAAACAUACCGAGGCAUGUUGUUAUUAUAAAGUCAUAGA